rnacentral:rRNA from 1 species
GGGCGGGGCACGGGGGCUACGGGAGGCAGCAGUUAGGAAUCUUCCCCAAUGGACGAAAGUCUGAGGGACGACGCCGCGUGAGGGAUGAAGGUUUUCGGAUCGUAAACCUCUGAAUCAGGGACGAAAGACGCUUAUGCGGGAGGACGGUACCUGAGUAAUACGACCGCUACACGCC